ensembl:snRNA U4 U4 spliceosomal RNA
AGUUUUGCGCAGUGGCGGUAUCAUGCCCAAUGAGGUUUAUCUGAGGCACGAUUAUUACUAAUUGAAAAUUUUUCCCAAGAACAUUGGGUAUAGCCCUAGAAGUCUUUGUAUAGGCAGAGAAUCACUUGGUAUGGAGUCGGCC